rnacentral:rRNA from 1 species
UACAGAGGGGGCAAGCGUUGUCCGGAAUCAUUGGGCGUAAAGAGCGCGUAGGCGGCCAGAUAAGUCCGGUGUGAAAGUCACAGGCUCAACCUGUGAAUGCCGCUGGAAACUGUCUGGCUAGAGUCCGGGAGGGGCGAGUGGAAUUCCUGGUGUAGCGGUGAAAUGCGCAGAUAUCAGGAGGAACACCAAUGGCGAAGGCAGCUCGCUGGAACGGUACUGACGCUGAGGCGCGAAAGCGUGGGGAGCAAACAGG